rnacentral:lncRNA from 1 species
GCGGAGCUGAGGAAGUCGCGCUCUGGGCGGCGGUGUCUGAUCUGCAACAACUCCGAGUUCUGAGGACACCCUGCAAGGAGCUGAGCAGAUGUGGACAGUGGAAGGUGACCGUCACAGGUGUGCUGCCUACUCACCCCAAGACCUGCACACACAUCCAUGGGGCCUCAUGCUCAUUACCCGGUUCCCCAGGUAACAUAAGUGGUGACACUGCUUCUCAUCAAGAGGCACGGCAGGUGUGUCCAUUUAACUACCUCUCAGCGUAGCUGUGUCUCAGGCUCUACAUCACCAGCAAAAAAACAAACAAAAAACCCACUUCCUCCGCAACAUCCAGUUAACAGCACUGAUACCAAAGGAAAAAAAAAAGAGCAAAUUCAUAUUCAUUAGCCACUGUCACUGCUGUAAGAGCUGUGACACUGUAGGUGACAAACCA